CACGUAGGGCGCAAGCGUUGUCCGGAAUUAUUGGGCGUAAAGGGCUCGUAGGCGGUCUGUCGCGUCGGUCGUGAAAAACUUUGGGGGCUUAACCCUGAGCUUGCGGUCGAUACGGGCAUGACUGGAGUUCGGCAGGGGAGACUGGAAUUCCCGGUGUAGCGGUGAAAAUGCGUAGAUAUCGUAAGGAAGACCAGUGGCGAAGGCGGGGUCUCUGGACAGUUCCUGACGCUGAGGCACGAAGGCCAGGGGGAGCAAAACGGGG
rnacentral:rRNA from 1 species